CUAAAGAGGAGGAAGGAAUGGGCAACGGUAGGUCAGCAUGCCCCGAAUUAUCCGGGCUACACGCGGGCUACAAUGGUCAGGACAAUGGGUAUCGACACCGAGAGGUGGAGGCAAUCUCCUAAACCUGUCCUUAGUUCGGAUUGUGGGCUGCAACUCGCCCACAUGAAGCUGGAAUCCGUAGUAAUCGCGUUUCAAAAUAGCGCGGUGAAUAUCGUCCUGCUCCUU
rnacentral:rRNA from 1 species